rnacentral:rRNA from 2 species
UGGGGAAUAUUGGACAAUGGGCGCAAGCCUGAUCCAGCCAUGCCGCGUGAGUGAUGAAGGCCCUAGGGUUGUAAAGCUCUUUCACCGGUGAAGAUAAUGACGGUAACCGGAGAAGAAGCCCCGGCUAACUUCGUGCCAGCAGCCGCGGUAAUACGAAGGGGGCUAGCGUUGUUCGGAUUUACUGGGCGUAAAGCGCACGUAGGCGGACUUUUAAGUCAGGGGUGAAAUCCCGGGGCUCAACCCCGGAACUGCCUUUGAUACUGGAAGUCUUGAGUAUGGUAGAGGUGAGUGGAAUUCCGAGUGUAGAGGUGAAAUUCGUAGAUAUUCGGAGGAACACCAGUGGCGAAGGCGGCUCACUGGACCAUUACUGACGCUGAGGUGCGAAAGCGUGGGGAGCGAACAGG